rnacentral:lncRNA from 1 species
UCCCUUUGUUUAUUUUUGCAGCCAACAAAGUAUGUUUUCGAGGUUAACAACGAAGCACAGGAUAGUACAAGUGGAAGAUCAUUAACAUGACUGGAUAGGAACCUCUUUUAAUUUCCCUUUCUUGGCUUUUUCCACACCCUAGGUGGAUUACACUCACCCUGACACACCUAGAAAAUACACCCAGAUACCAGAAUUGCAAAAUUCAGGAAGAAUGCACUGCACACUGUAUCCAGGCAAGCCAAGCUCACCUAAAAAUGGUCUCAAAAAGCAAAGGGCUCUGACCAUCGACUGAUGGGGUUGCAAGCCCAGCCUGUCUGCAGGAAUUUUUAAAUCUGAAACCACACUACAGAAAUUAUUUUAUAUAUUACUUAUUUUUAAAACUCAACUGUAAAAAUAAGUGUUGCAGGAAGAGUGAGGAAGAGGGAAUUUAAAAGAGGAAGUUGGGACUGAAUCUAUUCGUUCCAACCUCCCUAAGCAAUCCACUUAUUGAUCAGUGCUUCCAACUCAAGGAAUAUUUAAAAUUUUUUAAUUAAAGAAAAAAUUCUAUCAAUCAGAGAAUCUUGAAGGUAGGGGGAUCAUUUACAAUCAUUUUACAGGUGAGGAUAUUGAGACCAGCAGGGAGAUGACCUGCCCAAGCCUGCACAGAUAGCAAGGACCAAAGUUGGGAUGAGACUCAAAUAUGCCCUUUCAGAUGUGAAGCAGACCAUUUCUGCAAAAUAAGAGUUUAUCUUUGUCAUAAAUACUUUAGGUUGACAUGGUUCUAUUAUAUCAGGCUCGUUGGUCCCAGGAGGUUGCAUUUUUCCUAAAUGUGCGCCGUUAAGGUAUUGUGUGAUUGAGGAGGGGAAGAAGGCUGGAUGGGAAAUCAUGCAAAGACAAGUGCAUGUGGUAGAGAAGCUUAUAAACGGAGUCAUUUUCAUGUUUAACAGGAGACCACGUUUCUUAAUCUCUAGAUAUCCAGUAUCUUCUUGAAUGAGCUGUGGUAUCACUUUAAAAGAUGGGAUUUUUAACAUUUUUAAUGACCACUUCAAAUUCUCCACCAGCCACGGCAUAGUUGUGUGGGUUUUUCUUUUCAAUUUUGGUAUAAUCACCCAGAUUACAUUUCUCUAUGAGAAACAUUCACCUCGCAUUUUGAAAAGCAUAGAAAAAUUCACUGCCAAGGACUAGCUGGCCAACAGUAGCCCUAGGGAGAUAUAUUUCCGUUCUCCCACCCAGCCUCUCUGCACCCAUCCUCACAAUGACAUACACCAUAGUGGAAGUAACAUAUGACUUAUGGUGGGAAAAAAAAUAACAAAUGAUAAAAUGGGAAGGAGGGCAAGGGGAAAAUAGAGAGACUGCUACCCCACCACCUGAAUGGAAGGGGACCCCAGCACAAGGAGGAGGCUUCAGCUACACUGCACACAUGUCCCCCGGGUGUCUGAACCUGCCAGAAAUCUCUUAGUCCAUUUUCCUCUGGUUGAUAGCACUGCAGAGAAAUUGUUUAAUGUGUGUCUAGGGUA